rnacentral:lncRNA from 1 species
CUGUAUUGGGCUCUUCUGUUAGCAGAUUUUUCCUAAAAUGUAUCUCUUUAAAAAAAAUCCCUACUCCCCACGUGGUGAUUAUUGGAAAAGUUGGGAGGGGGAGGAAAAUAUUUUAGUCUAAGUGUAAGGGGUGUUGUGCUGCGAGAACACAGAAUGGUACAGGGCAUUCUCCUAAAGCGAUCCUCGCUCUCAGACUGCAGUGAUUUCCAGCAGGGCUGGAUGGGAAGGGAACGGUGGGCUCUGUAGUAACCAGCAUGUCUGGUCUCAACACGUCAGGCAAGAGGCUCGGGAUGUAGAGGAAUCACGUCUGAAAGGCAGACUGAGGUGCUCUCGGUAACUUCAGACUUCGGAGCCGUCCCCCCCCCUCGGAAACCACGGUCAGCAUCGUGCUCUGUGGAAAAGCCUGCAGUGGUUUAUCACCGGUGGUGGUUCUGCCCUAGACUCUCCGUCUACACAGUGAGCUGACGGUGACGGCGCUGGAGGGCAGGGGCGGAUGGAGUGGGGAUGUAUAGGGAGAGGCGAUCAACACGUGCCAUGGGCUCUCCACAGCAGAAAUAGCCCUGCAUGUGUGGAGAAAUAGACUGCGGAACAGCGUUUUGCUUCAUGGCCACCAACUCUUCUGCAAAAAGUGCCGUCUGGUAUUUUGCAACAAUAGCACAUCUCAGCUCAAACCAGCCCCCCCUCAAGUGCUCAGUAGCUCACGUGGCCAGUGCAGGGGUAGACGGGCCAGGUAAUGAGAAGCCUCUUAGGAAAGUCUUCCCAAGAUUCUGCUUGGCCAAGGUAUGCUAUGAUUUUAUUUUAUUUUUUUAAGUGAAUUCUAAUUUUAUUGAGGAUUUAGUGAUGUGUUUAGGAGCACACGAGGAACUAGGCUGUCCAGGUUCACAGCUGGUUCUACUGUUUGCAGACUCAGUGACCUUAAGCCAGGUGUUGCUGUCGUCUGCAGAACCAGUGUUGGAAGCCCCCUCGCUCGCUGCGAGGAUUGCACAGGACAAGACACAUUCGCUACUUAGCAUAUACCACCGCUGUGCUCUUAGGUCUUUGUGACUAUAUCUUCCCUUCACCCCAAAAUGAACCAUCUCAUAGGUCUCGGAAAAUGAGAUCAAAUGACAUAUGUAAUGAUGAGUCUGACGUCUGUCUUGGGGACGGCCACAGAAAGGGACAAGUAAAUAUCUGAGCUCUUUUCCAUCCACCUCCAGUAUGUUAAGUGCCGAGGUUGAAACCGACUUGGGGAGUCAGCCUGGUUUGUUAAAGCUGUCGUUGGAUCCCUCUUCCAUCAUCCAUGGAGAGCGUAUUUCUUCUCCUCUGUGGAAAAGUGGUAAAUUGAUGCAGAAAUAACUAUAAUUUUGUGGUUAGGAGAUAAUUAUUAAUUAACCAGAAUAUUCGUAUAGAUUUAAAGGCUAAAGUUCCCUAAUGUACGGAUAACUAAAGCUUUGUCAUAGAAAUCGUCAAGUGUCGAAUCCGUUAUUUCCACUUUACAAAUGAGAAACUCUGCCAAAGCUUUUGAAGUUUUGUCAUUUCCCAUCCCCAGGAAUUAGAUUAUUCAUAUUUUUAGAUAGACUUAAAAAAAGAGGGAGAGACUGAGACAGGCCCAUGCUCAUUCCUGCUUCUUUAAAUCACGUAGUUUUGAGCAUCUGCACCCAGCAUUAACCCAGAAUUUUGCAUCAGAGCCAGGAUCCUGGUUGUAAGCACCUUAAAAAAAAAAAGUGAAAUACAAUGGACCACAUGAGUUUGAGUCUAGUUAGUUCUUUCCAACAUUUCAAAAUCCAAUACCCUGUUUCAAUAAAUUUACAUUCAUCCAAAUGUCUAUGCACCUAGUGAGUUUUUUUUUUUUUUAAAGAUAAACAACUCAACACAAAGGAGUGGUAAUUCCAGGUGCAAAGAGUGUUGGUGCCCGCGUGCACACACACACACACACACACACACACACACACACAUACACCUGUGUCUAUCUUUGUCCCCACGUGGCCAUGUGAGCAUUAACCCUAUUCAUUUGCCAUGAACUUCUCUAAGUCAGUAGGAGAAGAACUCAGCAACUUGUUUUUGACAGCAAGCCUGCUCCCUGGUGAGCCCCCUUCCCUCCUGCCCUCGGGAUUUCACGCCGCCCUCCUCCCACCCUGCACAUAACCAUUCAGCUGAGGGAGAGAAAGCAAGGCCACCACUAUGGAGGUGCCCA